rnacentral:tRNA from 1 species
GCGGGGGUAGUUCAGUGGCAGAACACCAGCCUUCCAAGCUGGUUGUCGCGGGUUCGAAUCCCGUCCCCCGCUCCA